GAAUGCACCUCUAAUUUUACAGUGAUAUCAGUGGGAAAAUAAAAGAGGUUGUAUGGAAUUUUACUUUACUGCCAACUCCAUGGGAGAGAGAUUUGUCCUGGUGUGGAUAAUAAAUUAUAUAGUCACAUAGUUAAAACAGAAGCCUAUUUUGAGAGUUUUUUUUUUUUUAAAUCCUAUCGCCUCAUUUAUGAUUAUGGAUGAUAACCCACAGUCAUCCAUCCACUUCCAAAUUCCUGAAUGCCAAGAAGAGAAGACUGCCUACUGAUUCCUUGAUUAGGACAUGGAUGUACGUUGGGAAUUCGAUGGUUUCACUCACUCCUUGCCCAGCUGCCUUUGACUUCUCUUUCCCACAAGCAUACAGUAACAGUGACUUCCGUCUCUCUUGGGUAACUCUGCACUGAUGUACUCCCUUGUUUCUUUGCACCAUGGCUGACUACUCCCAUCCUCCCUGCCU